UGGGGAAUCUUGCACAAUGGAGGAAACUCUGAUGCAGCGACGCCGCGUGAGCGAAGAAGCCUUUCGGGGUGUAAAGCUCUUACGCCAGGGACGAUAAUGACGGUACCUGGAGAAGCAGCUGCGGCUAACUACGUGCCAGCAGCCGCGGUAAUACGUAGGCAGCAAGCGUUGUUCGGAAUUACGGGGCGUAAAGGGUGCGUAGGCGGCGCUCUAAGUUUGGUGUGAAAUCUCCCGGCUUAACCGGGAGGGUGCACUGAAAACUGGGGCGCUCGAGUAUGGGAGAGGAAAGCGGAAUUCCUUGUGUAGCGGUGAAAUGCGUAGAGAUCAGGAGGAACACCUGCGGUGCAGACGGCUUUCUGGACCAUCACUGACGCUGAGGCACGAAAGCGUGGGUAGCAAACA
rnacentral:rRNA from 1 species